CCUACGGGAGGCAGCAGUGAGGAAUAUUGGUCAAUGGACGCAAGUCUGAACCAGCCAUGCCGCGCGCAGGAAGACGGCUCUAUGAGUUGUAAACUUCUUUUGUGCGGGAGCAAUACUGGUCACGUGUGGCCAGCCGAGCGUACCGUACGAAUAAGCAUCGGCUAACUCCGUGCCAGCAGCCGCGGUAAUACGGGGGAUGCAAGCGUUAUCCGGGUUUAUUGGGUUUAAAGGGUGCGUAGGCUGUGAGGUAAGUCAGCGGUGAAAUGCCCCCGCUCAACGGGGUGAAGUGCCAUUGAUACUGCCGUGCUGGAAUGCGGAUGCCGUGGGAGGAAUGUGUGGUGUAGCGGUGAAAUGCAUAGAUAUCACACAGAACACCGAUUGCGAAGGCAUCUCACGAAUCCGCGAUUGACGCUGAUGCACGAAAGCGUGUGUAACAAACAGGAUUAGAUACCCGAGUAGUC
rnacentral:rRNA from 1 species